CCUACGGGUGGCAGCAGUGAGGAAUAUUGGUCAAUGGACGAGAGUCUGAACCAGCCAAGUAGCGUGAAGGAUGACUGCCCUAUGGGUUGUAAACUUCUUUUAUAUGGGAAAAAAAUGUUCCACGUGUGGGAUUUUGUAUGUAACAUAUGAAUAAGGAUCGGCUAACUCCGUGCCAGCAGCCGCGGUAAUACGGAGGAUCCGAGCGUUAUCCGGAUUUAUUGGGUUUAAAGGGAGCGUAGGUGGAUUGUUAAGUCAGUUGUGAAAGUUUGCGGCUCAACCGUAAAAUUGCAGUUGAAACUGGCAGUCUUGAGUACAGUAGAGGUGGGCGGAAGUCGUGGUGUAGCGGUGAAAUGCUUAGAGAUCACGAAGAACUCCGAUUGCGAAGGCAGUUCACUGGACUGCAACUGACACUGAGGCUCGAAAGUGUGGGUAUCAAACAGGAUUAGAUACCCCAGUAGUC
rnacentral:rRNA from 1 species